GAGUGAGGAUGAGAUUGAGAGAGAGGGUGAGGGGAGGAUGGGAGGGAUGAGUAACAAAAGUGAAAACAAAAAUUUGAAAGUGAAAACAAUUUCAGAUAGAUUUCAGUUUUUAGUUUUUGUUUUCACUUUUGUUACUCCUCUCCCAUCAUCUCCACUCUCAUUCUCACUUUCAUUCUCCUUAUUUUU
rnacentral:miRNA from 1 species